CGAGGAAUAUUGGUCAAUGGGCGCAAGCCUGAACCGGCCAUCCCGCGUGCAGGAAGACGGCCCUAUGGGUUGUAAACUGCUUUUCCAGGGGGAGAAUUUUUCUGUCGUGACAGGAAUUGACGGUACCCUGGGAAUAAGCAUCGGCUAACUCCGUGCCAGCAGCCGCGGUAAUACGGAGGAUGCGAGCGUUAUCCGGAUUUAUUGGGUUUAAAGGGUGCGUAGGCGGAUUGAUAAGUCAGUGGUGAAAACCUGCAGCUUAACUGUAGACUUGCCGUUGAUACUGUCAGUCUUGAGUGUGGUCAAGGUAGGCGGAAUGUGUAAUGUAGCGGUGAAAUGCUUAGAUAUUACACAGAACACCGAUUGCGAAGGCAGCUUACUGGGCCAUUACUGACGCUGAGGCACGAAAGCGUGGGGAUCGAACAGG
rnacentral:rRNA from 1 species